rnacentral:rRNA from 1 species
GAUACCCUGGUAGUCCAUGCCGUAAACGAUGAGUGCUAGGUGUUGGAGGGUUUCCGCCCUUCAGUGCCGGAGCUAACGCAUUAAGCACUCCGCCUGGGGAGUACGACCGCAAGGUUGAAACUCAAAGGAAUUGACGGGGGCCCGCACAAGCGGUGGAGCAUGUGGUUUAAUUCGAAGCUACGCGAAGAACCUUACCAGGUCUUGACAUCUUGCGCUAACCUUAGAGAUAAGGCGUUCCCUUCGGGGACGCAAUGACAGGUGGUGCAUGGUCGUCGUCAGCUCGUGUCGUGAGAUGUUGGGUUAAGUCCCGCAACGAGCGCAACCCUUGUUACUAGUUGCCAGCAUUAAGUUGGGCACUCUAGUGAGACUGCCGGUGACAAACCGGAGGAAGGUGGGGACGACGUCAGAUCAUCAUGCCCCUUAUGACCUGGGCUACACACGUGCUACAAUGGACGGUACAACGAGUCGCAAGCUCGCGAGAGUAAGCUAAUCUCUUAAAGCCGUUCUCAGUUCGGACUGUAGGCUGCAACUCGCCUACACGAAGUCGGAAUCGCUAGUAAUCGCGGAUCAGCAUGCCGCGGUGAAUACGUUCCCGGGCCUUGUACACACCGCCCGUCACACCAUGGGAGUUUGUAACGCCCAAAGUCGGUGGCCUAACCAUUAUGGAGGGAGCCGCCUAAGGCGGGACAGAUGACUGGGG